rnacentral:rRNA from 1 species
UACGGGGGGGGCAAGCGUUGUUCGGAAUUACUGGGCGUAAAGGGUUUGUAGGUGGCCAACUAAGCCAGACGUGAAAUCCCUCAGCUUAACUGGGGAACUGCGUCUGAGACUGGAUGGCUCGAGUGCAGGAGAGGAACGCGGAAUUCCCGGUGUAGCGGUGAAAUGUGUAGAGAUCGGGAGGAACACCGGUGGCGAAGGCGGUUUACUGGUCUCCAACUGACACUGAACCGCGAAAGCAUGGGUAGCGAACGGG